CCCUUAGAUGUUCUGGGCCGCACGCGCGCUACACUGGAAGUUACGGAUUGAGAUACUACCUUGUCCGAAAUGGUCCGGGUAAUCACCUAAAAGCUUGUCAUAAUUGGAAUGGAUUAUUGUAACUAGUAAUCCUGAACGAGGAAUUCCUAGUAAGUCCCAGUCAACAGCUGGUACUGAUUACGUCCCUGCCCUUUGUACACACCGCCCGUCGCUACUACUGAUUGGACGUUUAAGCAAGAUUUUUAAACACUGACAGUGUGUAGUUCACGCUAUACUACAGUGAGAAGAAGAAGAUCGAGCUUACUUGUCUAGAGGAAGUAAAAGUCGUAACA
rnacentral:rRNA from 1 species